GUGUGUUGUAGACUCCCACCUGGGAGCAGCCAGAGACCCAGACAGCAGAGGCCAGGUGCGCCAUGACCUGGACAGUACCUGGCUGCUUGCGGAAGCCCAUGAGGGGACGGAGUCAUUGUGAGUUUCACUGAUCAAUGAGCCCAGAGAUCCAGAGGACCUCUCGACUACAGCACAGGAAGACAGGGUUUUGCCACCGAUUUUAAGAAUGGGAUUGUUCCAUAGGACUGCCUCUACAUGGAAGAAUGGAUGGAAGCAGAACUUUCUAGCCAUGUUUGACCAAGCUUGCCUCACAGCUGUUAUUGUGGGAGCGCUGGAGCUAUAAUAAUUUGAUCCCACAAUGCCUGAAAGGGGGAGCCAAUAAUAUGCAAGAUGAUACUUUAUUCACUCAGAAGAGGAGGACAAGGGAAACUAUCUGGGGUAAAUUCUCUGCUGAUUUAAGGUCCUGUUGACUUUGGUGGAACAGGAGCAGGGGCUUACAUUCUGUGCAACAUCACUGAUUUCAGUGCAGAAUCUGGUCUGUAAUAUCGGCUAGCCUGAUCUCUGCAG